rnacentral:tRNA from 1 species
UCCCAGCUGGCUCAGUGGUAAAGAAUCUGCCUGCAAUGCAGGAGACCUGGGUUAGAUCCUUGGGUUGGGAU